rnacentral:tRNA from 1 species
GGUGCUGUAGCUCUGUGGUAGAGUGCUUGCCUAGCAUGCAUGAGGCACUGGGUUCAAUCCUCAGCACCA